CAUAAGCUACGUUGGCAAACACAGCUGUCAUAAAUGUACAUGCGUGGGAGUACACGAAGGGAAAAAAGUCAUUUUUGAUGAUGUGGAUGCUGAAUUGCGGACUGAGGAAAGCUUUAAAGGCAGGACGGAUAAGGAACAUCACAAAAGUUGGAAGUCACCUUUGGAAGAUGUGAGAAGGUAUUUGGCUCCUAAUUUUCUGUGGCUCGGAUGGAGCAUGGGUUGGACUACAUUCGUAUAAUUAGAAUCGUUUAGAUUAGAAUGCAUGCAGUAGUUUAUGUUAGUAUUAUUUUACUUGAAUGUUUAUUAGUAACUCAUUUUUAAAUAGCUAUAUCAAAUGAUGAUGAUUUACGUAGUUUGUAGUUAAAAAGGUUAUGCAUAGAUUUGAGCUGCGCGCGCGUGAAUGUGGGCUCUUCAAAUAGAUUUGAUCACCCACUCGCUUUUUCAUUCAAUAUGUUUUCGUUUCCUGCUCAAAUCUAUGCAUGGGAAAGAGGUGGGCAAUCUUCAUCAUCAUUUGAUAUGUUACUUAUUGUUUAGGAAGCUAUAACACUAACAAAAUAGUUUGUCUUGCCCAUUUUAAAUUCAUAUAAAUAGAAACUAAAAUAGUCACUACUGUUCAAUGAAUUCUAAUAAGUUAUAGUUAAUUGUAGCUUUUUAUCUUAGUGUAAUUAAAUUAGGCCGAUCUCGUAGUACAGUCGUCAACACGUACGACUUAACAAUAUGCCCGUUAUGGGUUAAAGCCCCAAAUGGAGCGGGCCGCCAUACGUAGCACUGACU